CCUCUUUGCACAAAAAGAGACUGAGAUGACGAAGUGGAUGCGCCUUGAUUUCCUCCAACUCCUUACUUAAUGCCGCAAUGGAGUCCUCACCCCUGCCUUUAGAAGAGAAAGCCUUCAUACUAUAUUCGACUUGCAUGUGUUAAGCAUAUAACCUUUCAUCACAUUCAGUCGACUUUCAAUUCAAUCUCUGAGGAAGAGAAAGAUAUAGUUUAUAUACAGAAGAAACCGAGUUUUGAGUUCUAUUAAGGACCCGAAGAAGACAGGAGAACUGGGCAUUCACAAGACUGCUUUGAUUCUCAUCAUGAUACAUUCUUGUAGUAAGCGG
rnacentral:lncRNA from 1 species